CAGCAGCCACGGUAAUACGAAGGGGGCUAGCGUUGUUCGGAUUUACUGGGCGUAAAGGGCGCGUAGGCGGACUGAUAAGUCAGGGGUGAAAUCCCAAGGCUCAACCUUGGAACUGCCUUUGACACUGUUUGUCUUGAGUUCGAGAGAGGUAAGUGGAACUGCGAGUGUAGAGGUGAAAUUCGUAGAUAUUCGCAAGAACACCAGUGGCGAAGGCGGCUUACUGGCUCGAAACUGACGCUGAGGCGCGAAAGCGUGGGGAGCAAACAGGAUUAGAUACCCCAGUAGUCCCUGUCUCUUAUAC
rnacentral:rRNA from 1 species